rnacentral:rRNA from 1 species
UAAAACGUAGGGGGCAAGCGUUGCCCGGAUUCACUGGGCGUAAAGCGGGUGUAGGCGGUUCUUUAAGUCAGAUGUGAAAUCCUGCGGCUCAACCGCGGAACUGCAUCUGAUACUGGGGAACUUGAGGACGGUAGAGGUCGGUGGAAUCCCCGGUGUACCGGUGAAAUGGGCAGAUAUCGGGGGGAACACCAGUGGCGAAGGCGGCCGACUGGGCCGAUCCUGACGCUGAGACCCGAAAGCCAGGGUAGCGAACCGGAUUAGAUACCCGGGUAGUCCUGGCCGUAAACGGUGCGAACUAGGUGUGGGGGGCCUCACGGCCUUCCGUGCCGAAGCUAACGCAUUAAGUUCGCCGCCUGGGGAGUACGGCCGCAAGGCUA